UACGAAGGGUGCUAGCGUUGUUCGGAAUUACUGGGCGUAAAGCGCGCGUAGGCGGCUAUCCAAGUCAGGGGUGAAAUCCUUGGGCUCAACCCAAGAAUUGCCUUUGAAACUGGAUAGCUAGAGUGUCGGAGGGGAUAGCGGAAUUGCUAAUGUAGAGGUGAAAUUCGUAGAUAUUAGCAGGAACACCGGUGGCGAAGGCGGCUAUCUGGACGACAACUGACGCUGAGGCGCGAAAGCACGGGGAUCAAACAGG
rnacentral:rRNA from 1 species